rnacentral:rRNA from 1 species
ACUGCUCAGUAACACGUGGACAACCUGCCCUUAGGUUGGGUAUAAACCCGGGAAACUGGGUAUAAUACCCGGUAGGUCUCGAUUGCUGGAAUGCAUCGAGAUUUAAAGCUCCGGCGCCUAAGGAUGGGUCUGCGGCCUAUCAGGUAGUAGUGGGUGUAGCGUACCUACUAGCCUACGACGGGUACGGGUUGUGAGAGCAAGAGCCCGGAGAUGGAUUCUGAGACACGAAUCCAGGCCCUACGGGGUGCAGCAGGCGCGAAAACUUUACAAUGCUGGCAACAGCGAUAAGGGAACCUCGAGUGCCAGGUUACAAAUCUGGCUGUCGAGAUGCCUAAAAAGCAUUUCAUAGCAAGGGCCGGGCAAGACCGGUGCCAGCCGCCGCGGUAACACCGGCGGCUCGAGUGGUAACCGUUAUUAUUGGGUCUAAAGGGUCUGUAGCCGGCCGGAUAAGUCUCUUGAGAAAUCUGGCAGCUUAACUGUCAGGCUUUCAGGAGAUACUGUCUGGCUCGAGGCCGGGAGAGGUGAGAGGUACUUCAGGGGUAGGGGUGAAAUCUUGUAAUCCUUGAAGGACCACCAGUGGCGAAGGCGUCUCACCAGAACGGACCUGACGGCAAGGGACGAAAGCUAGGGGCACGAACCGGAUUAGAUACCCGGGUAGUCCUAGCCGUAAACGAUACUCGCUAGGUGUCGGCCACGGUGCGACCGUUGUCGGUGCCGUAGGGAAGCCGUGAAGCGAGCCACCUGGGAAGUACGGCCGCAAGGCUGAAACUUAAAGGAAUUGGCGGGGGAGCAC